rnacentral:rRNA from 1 species
UACAGGGGGCGCGAGCGUUGCUCGGAAUCACUGGGCGUAAAGCGUACGCAGGCGGGUCGGUAAGUCCGUUGUGAAAUCCCGGGGCUCAACCCCGGAAAUGCGAUGGAGACUGCCGAUCUUGAGUACGGGAGAGGGGAGCGGAAUUCCUGGUGUAGAGGUGAAAUUCGUAGAUAUCAGGAGGAACACCGGUGGCGAAAGCGGCUCCCUGGCCCGAUACUGACGCUCAUGUACGAAAGCGUGGGGAGCAAACAGG